UACGUAGGGUGCGAGCGUUAAUCGGAAUUACUGGGCGUAAAGCGUGCGCAGGCGGUUUUGUAAGCCAGAUGUGAAAUCCCCGGGCUUAACCUGGGAAUGGCAUUGGUGACUGCACGGCUAGAGUGUGUCAGAGGGGGGUAAAAUUCCACGUGUAGCAGUGAAAUGCGUAGAGAUGUGGAGGAAUACCGAUGGCGAAGGCAGCCCCCCUGGGAUAACACUGACGCUCAUGCACGAAAGCGUGGGGAGCAAACAGGAU
rnacentral:rRNA from 1 species